rnacentral:lncRNA from 1 species
CAACAACCUUAUUCUUAUAAAAUGUAUUUACUUAUAGACAGUGUCUUACAUAUCCCAAGUUGGCCUCCACAUUCAUAUGUAACUGAGAAUGACCUUGAACUCCUGAUCUCCUGAGUGCUGGGAUCAUGGGUUCGGGUACCGCAUUCAGUUUAUGCAGUGUGGGGUGUCAAACCCAGGCCUUUACUUCUUUUCUGAUUACAUUCACUUGUGCAUGUGUUUAUGUCCAUGCAUGUGCCAUGGGGCACUUAUGGAGGUUGGAAGACAACUUUAUUGUGGGAGCUGGUUCUCUCCUUCCACCAUAUAGGACCUGGGUAUUGAACUCAGGGGGUCAUGCCUAACCCUAACCCUCUGAGCCAUCUCACUGGCCCUGAACUGAAGCUUGAUAUGCAUGCUUGGAGAGCACUCUACCAGCGGAAAUUCUCCCAGCCUUGAGUAAAUUUGCUCUUUUAAGUGAAUUAUUGUUACCCAUGAAGACGAUGCUGGAGAAGAUAUCUUGCCAAAAGUAAACAGUCGUUAGUGUGCAUGAGAACCAGGGCUCUAUGUUACUUCAUCAAUCCACUGCUCUCCCUGGCAAAUGCUAUCUAUUCUUCUGAGAAAAGAAAAGGCAGUUGUCAUCAGCCCAGCCCUAUGUGCCAGGCUCUAUUUGUCAUCUCAGCCAGGAAUGGUGGCAUAUACCUUUGAUCCCAGCGCUCUGAGGCCAGGCUGGUCUACAUAUGCUUGUCCCUGCGCUAGCACAGACGAUAAGAACUCACAGUGUUCUCCACCAGCCACCCUUCUGCCCUCCCCCCGGAGAGGCAAGACAGGGGCAUGCGUGCUCCUCUGUUUAAAGCCAUCGCUGAUGUACAAACUCUGAGAAAAUAGACUUAAAAGUUUAUAUUCAGUCUCUCUUGGCUACUGUUGCUGCUCAGCAAAGAAACUCUAUAUUGUUUAAAGCCUCCAGGCAAACGGGUUGCAAGGCAACCUUCAAACAAUAGAAAAUACCCCAAACUAAAAAUAAGAGCAAGAAGGCUUGGGAAGCAUGAUGGUGGGGUUUUGGUGAAGUGGCCUUGCAGUUGAGGCAAAGGACACCCAGGUCACAUCAGCAUGCGAGCCAUUAUGCCCUUAUUGAGGCUUUUACAGCCAG